CAAUGCGGCGGCCUACCAUGCAGUCGAGCGGUAGAGAGGUGCUUGCACCUCUUGAGAGCGGCGGACGGGUGAGUAAAGCCUAGGAAUCUGCCUGGUAGUGGGGGAUAACGCUCGGAAACGGACGCUAAUACCGCAUACGUCCUACGGGAGAAAGCAGGGGACCUUCGGGCCUUGCGCUAUCAGAUGAGCCUAGGUCGGAUUAGCUAGUUGGUGAGGUAAUGGCUCACCAAGGCGACGAUCCGUAACUGGUCUGAGAGGAUGAUCAGUCACACUGGAACUGAGACACGGUCCAGACUCCUACGGGAGGCAGCAGUGGGGAAUAUUGGACAAUGGGCGAAAGCCUGAUCCAGCCAUGCCGCGUGUGUGAAGAAGGUCUUCGGAUUGUAAAGCACUUUAAGUUGGGAGGAAGGGCAUUAACCUAAUACGUUAGUGUUUUGACGUUACCGACAGAAUAAGCACCGGCUAACUCUGUGCCAGCAGCCGCGGUAAUACAGAGGGUGCAAGCGUUAAUCGGAAUUACUGGGCGUAAAGCGCGCGUAGGUGGUUCGUUAAGUUGGAUGUGAAAUCCCCGGGCUCAACCUGGGAACUGCAUUCAAAACUGUCGAGCUAGAGUAUGGUAGAGGGUGGUGGAAUUUCCUGUGUAGCGGUGAAAUGCGUAGAUAUAGGAAGG
rnacentral:rRNA from 1 species